rnacentral:misc_RNA from 1 species
GGAGGCUGCGCACGAUGGCGUUCUUCUUGGCCAUCCGCCGCGUCCCCAAAGCCAGGCAGGUCGUGAUCACGGCCGGCAGACCUUCGGGGAUGGCGGCGACGGCGAGGGCGACGGCGAUCUUGAAGUAAUAGAUGGCACCCCGGAUCCAGGAUCCUCCGUGGACGGGGUCGUUAAAGUGGCCGAUGUUAAUGAGCCAAACGGCCACGCAAAUGAGGGAGAUGACUUUGGACAGCUGCUCCCCGAACUCGUCCAGCUUCUGCUGCAGGGGGGUCUUAUCCUGUUCCGUGGCCGCCAUCUCAUCCCGGAUCUUCCCGAUCUCCGUGUUCACCCCCGUGGCCACCACGAUGCCCACCGCUUUGCCUGCGCCGAUGUUGGUGCCAGAGAAGAGCAUAUUCUUCUUGUCCUGAUUGACAGCGCGGGGGUCGGGGACGGGCUCCGUGUGUUUGAUCACCGACACCGACUCACCGGUGAGGAUGGACUGAUCGACGCGCAGCGUGGUGGAUUUGAUGGAGAUGAUGCGGAUAUCAGCCGGGACUUUGUCACCCACGGCCACCUCGGCGAUGUCCCCCGGCACGAGGUCGCGGGCUUUGAUGCGCUGCACCGCUUUGCGGUCGGCGCGGUACACUUUGCCCAUCUCCGGCUCGUAUUCCUUCAGCGCCUCGAUGGCGUUCUCCGCAUUGCGCUCCUGCCAGACGCCGACGACGGCAUUGGCGAUGAGGAUGAGGAGGAUGACGAAGGGCUCCACGAAGGCUGUGAUGGUUUCCUCCCCCUCCUCAAACCACGCCAGCACGAAGGAGAUGCAGGCGGCCAAUAGGAGGAUUCGCACCAGGAGGUCCUCAAACUGCUCCACCACCAACUCCCAUAUGGUUUUACCUUCCUCUGCCGGCAGCUCGUUGUGGCCGUACUUUUCCAGCGCCCUCCUCACCUGCUCGCCGCUCAGCCCGACGCUUUCGUUCACCCCGAAGAAAGCCAAGCAUUCCUCGGCCGUUUUCGCGUGCGCGUUUUCCAUCCUUA